CGGUCAUGGUCCCCGGCUAGGGCUCUAUCCCAGGGACCUCGGUCUUCGCGCCCAAAAGUGGCAUUUUCCAAGACUACCUUGGCCCACCACGCCCCUAUCCUGGGCUUAUAAAAACCCAAGACCCUAGCAAGGCAGAGACAUGAGCUGCUGGACAGCCAGAGGAAUACAUUGGUGGAAGAAGACAAACAGCUGGACAUUGAGAAGACUUUGAGGGGAGCAUGCCUGCGGAAGAGCACACCGCCAGAUGCCCGGACACCAGCAGGCCACUGACCAACAGGCCAUGACCAGCGGAACGAUGUGGAGUUUGGCCAGGGCAGAUGGAGGAGAGCCCGGGGCCACCAAGCAGCCCAAUUCCACGGGAAAACCAUCUGUCUUCUGGCUCCCCCAUCUGCUGAGAGCUACUUCCACUCAAUAAAACCUUGCACUCAUUCUCCGAUUCCAGUUUGUGAAGAUACAGAGAGAAAACG
rnacentral:lncRNA from 1 species